rnacentral:rRNA from 1 species
UACGUAGGGUGCAAGCGUUGUCCGGAAUGAUUGGGCGUAAAGAGCUCGUAGGCGGUCUGUCACGUCGGAUGUGAAAAUCCAGGGCUUAACCCUGGACCUGCAUUCGAUACGGGCAGACUAGAGUUCGGUAGGGGAGACUGGAAUUCCUGGUGUAGCGGUGAAAUGCGCAGAUAUCAGGAGGAACACCGGUGGCGAAGGCGGGUCUCUGGGCCGAUACUGACGCUGAGGAGCGAAAGCGUGGGGAGCGAACAGG